AAAUCUCCUGCUCAUCUCCUAACAGGGUUUCCACCUCGUGGUGCUGCCUCAUACCCACCUCCUGAACGUGCAGGUGGUGUUGCAGACCCAUAAGGAACAUUAUUUCCGGAUGGCACCUGUCCAUGGGGGCCAGGGGCAGCUCUGGUAGGUGCAUCAUAGUUAGUGCCCCUGGGUGCAUCAUAAACCGGUCCUCUCUGCCCAUCAUAAGCUGGCCCUCUCUGUGCAUCAUAACCAGGUCCCUUUUGAGCAUCAUAACCAGGCCCUCUCUGUGGAUCAUAACCAGGUCCUCUUGGUGCAUCAUAGCCAGGUCCUCUAGGUGCAUCAUAGCCGGGUCCUCUAGGUCCAUCAUAACCAGGUCUGCUAGCAGCAGGGCCAGAUUGAGGUCCAGCAUAAGCAGGAGUACCACCACCACCACCACCACCACCUGCAGCAGCAACACCACCACCU
rnacentral:lncRNA from 1 species